AUGCUGCCGCUGCAGCUGCUGGGAUGGGCCGCAUGCCUCGCCGGCGCGGCCUACGUCGCCGUGGUGUGCCAGCUGGCCUGCGUGGUGUCCCUGCUCGAGGAUGCCAUGCUCUUCGGCGCCCUGCGCAAGAGCCGUGCGCUCGUCGCCGGCAAGUUCUGGGCGGCCGCCGGCGUCUUCGGCACGCUCGACGGUUGCAUCUUCGCCUUGGUGCUCGCUUUCCGGGCUCUGGUGGUGGACGAUGCGCUGGGCCUCGGCCUCGGGUUCCAGGUGGCCGCCGGGGCGGCGAUGGCGGUGGCUCUGUGCGCGGUCGUGCUGUUGACGCUGGUGGCGCAGCCGGUGGUGUACAUGGUGUGCAAGAACCACCACCACGAGGUCGUCGACAAGGUUCACCUCGACUGA
rnacentral:rRNA from 1 species